UAUGCUACUGUGCUCCAGCCUGUGAGACAGAGUGAUAUCUUAUGUCAAAAUAAAUAAAUAAGUAUUGGUGAAAAUAUAAUAGGAUAAAAUUGCAAGCCAUAGGAAAUGGAAGUCUAGCACUUACAGAGAGAUGGUAAUAUUGUGAAGCAACAGUGUAUUGAAAUUAUGAAAUAAGAGUUUUUCAUGCAAAUGUGAGGAAUUUGCUGAGGACAAGUAAGAAGAAGGCCAAUUCCUAUUGUGCAAAUCCUCUGGUCACUGGCUUCAACUAAUAAGGACAAGCAAAAGCAUAGGAAGUCAUUUCCCUCCUACAAAGAUCAUUGCAAUGAAUGGGAACUGGUGCUUUCUGUGGCUCACGCCCAGUGGGUCUGAGGGGAAAUAGAAUCAAUAAAACUUUAAACAUA